GAAUUUUUAAAAGAUGCUGAUCCUCUGCCUCUGCGGCAAUAUUAUUAAAUCCACAGCUCUCAUUGGAAGUUUCCACCUUUGCCCUCUCCACUCCUCUUAGAAGAAGAAGAAGAAGAAGAGGGAAAAUAGUCCUGGGCGUCAUGCGGGUACUCUUUUGCAUCAAGCAGCAAAAAGAGGCCAGGAGAAGACUGUUCUUUUACUUCUUUCCUGUGGAGCAAAUGCUCUGGUGAGAAAUGAUGAUUGUCACAGUGCUUUGGAUGCUGCAAGAAUAAAGGGGCACACCAACUAUUGAAAUAGGCUCUUUUAGGUGUCAAAAUCCAGUAAAACUACCAAUGGUGCAGCUACAUGCAUGGACUGCUAGCUAGAUGAUUCAGUCUAAUAAUUUUUUUCUUAACCUGUAAUUUGUGCUCCAACAUUAAUAGCGUCAAAUUCUCUCUGACUUGUUUAUAUGUGCCAUCAUCAAUUUAUGUAUCUUUCAAGUUUAGUGUUAAUUAAUAAGCAGGAUACUCAACCUCGUACAGUCAUUGCUAUCUGGAAGGCAAAGAUUGAUCAGGAACCCGAAUUUCAUCAGUUGGAUCCAGGGCUCACUAUAUUUGACCAUUCUGCAAGCAAGUCAUUAUUAAUGAAUUUUGUUUCACUGCCAAA